GACGAACCGAGCGAACGUUGUUCGGAAUCACUGGGCUUAAAGGGCGCGUAGGCGGGCGAUCAAGUCAGGGGUGAAAUCCUCCAGCUCAACUGGAGAAGUGCCUCUGAUACUGGCCGUCUCGAGGGAGAUAGGGGCGUGCGGAACUUCCGGUGGAGCGGUGAAAUGCGUAGAUAUCGGAAGGAACACCGGUGGCGAAAGCGGCGCGCUGGAUCUCUUCUGACGCUGAGGCGCGAAAGCCAGGGGAGCGAAC
rnacentral:rRNA from 1 species